CCCCUCCUUCCAAAGCCGACAACAACGAGCCCGACCUUCUUCCUCUCUUCCUUCUCAUUUUUUCUUCUAAUUUUUGUCAGAUUCUUAUCACCAUGCUCAUCGGAAAUCAAAGCUGGAGGUGCCAUUGGAGCCAAGGUAAGGCUCAAAUCCCUCUUCCUCUCUUCCUUUCCCUUCUUCCCAUGCUCUAUUAUACAUGGCCACCGACUGUCGA
rnacentral:lncRNA from 1 species